UACGAAGGGGGCUAGCGUUGUUCGGAAUUACUGGGCGUAAAGGGUGCGUAGGCGGUUCGAUAAGUCAGAUGUGAAAGCCCUGGGCUCAACCCGGGAACUGCGUUUGAGACUGUCGAGCUUGAAUUCGGUAGAGGUGAGUGGAAUUCCCAGUGUAGAGGUGAAAUUCGUAGAUAUUGGGAAGAACACCGGUGGCGAAGGCGGCUCACUGGACCGACAUUGACGCUGAGGCACGAAAGCGUGGGGAGCAAACAGG
rnacentral:rRNA from 1 species